UCAUCAUCCUCACCCAAAACAUGACUGUGAUCUGCGUCCUCAUCUGGACUCUCCUCUGCUGCUGCUUCACAGAGUCCAGAGGACAGGUCACAGUGACUCAGCCUGGAGCAGUGAGCUCUGCUGUGGGAGGAUCUGUCUCCAUCUCAUGUAGAACCAGUCAGGAUGUUUAU